ensembl:lncRNA
CUGUGUCUGGGUAUGUGUGUGAGUGUUCACAUGUCUGUGUGUCCGUAUGGAUACGGGUAAUGAGCUAGUGUCUGUGUGUGCACGUUUGUGUGAGUGUGUGUCUGUGUGAGAAUUUAUCUGUGCACGAUCAGUGCAUACAUGUUGAUGAUAGAUGGUCAAAUUAGAGCAUGCGUGUGUGUAUGUGUGUGUUUGUGUAUGUGUCUGACUCUCUCUUUGCUUGUCAGUGCAUACAUGUAGCUUAUACAGAGUGUGUGUGUGUGCAUGUGUGUGUUACCACCCAUGCAGAGAUCUGGGAUGGUAAUUAUCAAAUACUCAUGCAUGCAGGCCCCUUCCCCUAAAACAACAAAUAGAAAAAACAAAGACAAAAAAGAGCCUGCCGCUCUGAUCCUGCUCCAUGGCAACCGAAUCCAGAUGAAAGGGGUGAUGAGAAGAAAUGAGGGAAGAGAGAAAGAUAAGAUAGAGGCUGGGAGGAGAAGGGUGGGCUCCGGUGGCCUCAUUACGCUUCCUGUGUGUGUGUGUGUGUGUGUGUGUGUGUGUGUGUGUGUGUGUGUGUGUGCAUUAGGUGUGUUAGAAAAUGCACAAACACAACAUUUGUGCAUAUAAAUCAGGAAUAAGAAAUGUCUGUGAAAUACAUGUCUGUGUGUGUUUUAUGUCUGGAGGUAUGUUUGUGCAUCUACAUAUUUCUGUCUCAGUGUCUAUGCAAAAAUAUAAACACUAAAAUUGCUCGGUCAUCAUUAGUUAUAUAUUACAGUGCACAUGUGCAUGUGUGUGUGUGUAUAAGUCUGAGUUUAGGUGCACACAAGAACAAAGAGACACAGAGACAAAGAGCAUAUUCAAUAUAUAUGUGUAUGCUUCAGUAAUAACACACAAGUCUGUAUCUGAAUGCCAGUAUAUGCUGACAGGGGUGAAGGUUGUAUGAACUGUAUGGAUGACAGGGAGAUAGCUCCAUUCAUCGUGUCUCAUCGUGUCAGUCUGACCUGACCUCAGGUUACUGUCAUUUUCUUUCCCCUUCCUUUCAGAAACCUCAUAUAUCUUGACUGGUGGCUACUCUCUCUUCGCUGUACCGAGGUCAGUGCGCUCGCAGCGUCGUCUCUCUAACCACAGACACAACCCAGGUGCCGCCACUACAGGGUGUUUGUUUUCGCCAGCACAGCAAAACAUCAAUUCCUGGAGCUCAUUUCAUUCAUCACGGACGGCAGAAAUUGGUUGUGUCGAGACGGUGACCCCCGUUUUGACUGACUGAGAUAAAACAAAACCAACCUCCGGUGCUGUUCCACUCCCACAGGUGCAGAGGGGAGGACAUUUUUUUUUUAUGCUUUGUCUCAAUGAAAGAAGAUUGAAAAUUUGGACCAGUGUAGCCUCUGUGACAAAUGAAAGGUGACAAAGAGGCAAAUAGUACAGCGGGAGUUUCCUACACCUUUCCUUAAAGCUGUCGGCGCUGGCAGCAUCUUUAAUAAAUAAAAAAAUUUUACAGGACCAAAACGCCUAAAUAUUUCAAGGCAUCCCUGCUGGUGCACUCGCGGGAGCAUUUGAGAUGUGACAUAUCCAAGCUUUGCAUUUUAAUAAAUACAUCUCAAUAAGUCCAUGCCGACUUCUCUUGAUGUCACAAGCGAUAGAGUCCGGGAGGGAUUGCCUGAGGAAAAUGCAUAGUUGAGCAGGAUAUAGAGUCCUGCCAUAAGAUCCUUUUGUUUUUAUAUUUCUAUUGUCUUUUUUGUCAUAACUGGUGUUUCUCCUAUUUGAAAGGUAUAUCUAUGUAUUGUUUCAUUGUCAGUAGCAGUUGUAGUCUAACUAGUAGCCAUGACCGUAGUUUUCGAGGUAGUACUUUGAGUAGCAGUGGAACUGUUAUUGCUACUGUUGUUGUUGCUGUGAGUGGACUCACUCGAAAUGCUCUCAGUGUUACCUUUUGUGUUGAUAUAAUACAUUAUUAAAGAAAUUUAAAUAAAAAGUAGAAAUACGUAUUAUUGUUUUAAAAUGAGAGACGUGCAUUACAUUUUUAAGAUGAUGACUGCUUUCAGGCAACACAGCACUCACUUGACCUCUCACUAACCAGGAGGUAAUUCUCUCAUUCCACUAUAAUUAUAGGUGCUGAAGCGCUAAUGAUUUAUGAUGUAUGUACUCUCUCUCUCUCUCUCUCUCUCUCUCUCUCGCUCUCUCUCUCUCUCUCAUCAUUCUCUCCGUUCCAUUCAUUCAUUCAUUCACUCACUUACUCACUCAUUUUGAUACUCAAUCAUAUAUUAUUGCUCUGCCCUCAGUAAUAACCAAAUUAGCUGCAUCAAGCAUGCCAUUAAAAGCUUAUGACAUGGUUCUGUUGACACAUAUUAGCUAUCAAGUCACGACUAAAAGCUCAUCCAUAAAUUACUACUUCCAAAACAUUUUAAGGCAUACCUCCCACAUACUCUCUCUCUUUUCUCUCUCUCUCUCUUUCUCUCUCUCUCUCUCUCUCUCUCUCACACACACACACACCACACACACACACACACACACAAACACACACACACACACACACACACACACAGACACACACACACACACACACACACACACACACAAAUGC